GUGACUGAGGAAAAUCUCACGGAAGCAUGAAAAGGUGGCAUGCUUCUGCAUCAACUCCCAUCCUCAUGAAUUUCUUCCAUGAUGUGCAGCACCCUGGCACUUCCACUUCCAGACUCUCCUUAGCUAAAGAGACACCACACGAGACAGAGAAGAUGCCAAAGCUUGAAUCAAGCAACUACUAGCCUCGCCUAGCACGUGUUGCAGGACACACACCUCAAAUCCAACCCCAGGAAAAUGCUCUGAGACUACGGCUCCAUUUCUUCCACAAAGGCAGCUUCUGGGCAUGUUUAAAGGGUCCCCCACUCCACUAAAGUGCAAUGUACCAGGAACAAGCACUUCCUCAGUGGUGCAGAAAUUGGGCUUAAGUU